rnacentral:rRNA from 1 species
CCUGGCGGCCGUAGCGCGGUGGUCCCACCUGACCCCAUGCCGAACUCAGAAGUGAAACGCCGUAUCGCCGAUGGUAGUGUGGGGUCUCCCCAUGCGAGAGUAGGGAACUGCCAGGC